UACGUAGGGUGCAAGCGUUAAUCGGAAUUACUGGGCGUAAAGCGUGCGCAGGCGGCUUUGCAAGACAGAUGUGAAAUCCCCGGGCUCAACCUGGGAACUGCAUUUGUGACUGCAUGGCUGGAGUGCGGCAGAGGGGGAUGGAAUUCCGCGUGUAGCAGUGAAAUGCGUAGAGAUGCGGAGGAACACCGAUGGCGAAGGCAGCCCCCUGGGCUGACACUGACGCUCAGGCACGAAAGCGUGGGGAGCAAACAGG
rnacentral:rRNA from 1 species